AUCUACCUAAGAGUCUAGAGUGAUUGAAUUUGUUUUUUUCUCUUUGCCCCUUUUCUGGGGCAUGAAUUUGACCAAACAUCUCAGAAAUUUGAUUGUGCUUAAUGUUUUUAUUGUUUUGUCAAUUUGUAAAGAUUCAAGUUCCAGGAAUGAUUCAACUUUCCUGGACCGGUGAUGGAACUUGCUUUAAGUUUUAAUUAUAAAGCGCAGGUUCUGGUAGAAGGGUUGGAGAGGAUAUUAAGAUCUUGGUAUACUUGUACAAUAUGUUGUAUGCAAUGGUGUUUGCAUUUUUGUAUUUGGGGAUACAUAAACAGUGUGCCAACACUUGUAAUUCCAUUCUAUUCGAUAUUAAGGUGGUCAUAACUUUAUUUA